UACGAAGGGGGCUAGCGUUGUUCGGAAUUACUGGGCGUAAAGCGCACGUAGGCGGGUUGUUAAGUCAGGGGUGAAAUCCUGGAGCUCAACUCCAGAACUGCCUUUUGAUACUGGCAACCUAGAGACUGGAAGAGGUUAGUGGAAUUCCCAGUGUAGAGGUGAAAAUUCGUAGAUAUUGGGAAGAACACCAGUGGCGAAGGCGGCUAACUGGUCCAGCACUGACGCUGAGGUGCGAAAACGUGGGGAGCAAACAGG
rnacentral:rRNA from 1 species